GCGCUUCCGGGUCGACGCGGCGGCUGGGCCUGGCGGCGUUGGCGGGGGAUUGCGGGUCCGGUGCUUCUCGCCCCUCCCGGCGGCCGGGCUGGGGCCCGUCCUGCCUCACAGCGCCUUCACCCGCUGUGCGGCACCGUAACAGGGCUUCCCUUCAGGCGGUGCGGGCGGCGGUGCCCUCGCGGCGCAGAGCGGGGCUGCGGAGAUGGAAGAGGAACCUGAACGGACAAAGCGCUGGGAAGGAGGCUACGAGAGAACUUGGGAAAUUCUUAAAGAAGAUGAAUCCGGGUCGCUGAAACCGACCAUCGAGAGUAUCCUCUUCAAGGCAAAGAGGAAGAGACUCUAUGAACACCAUGGACAAGUUCGACUUGGAAUGAUGCGUCACCUUUACAUGGUUAUUGAUGGAUCAAGAACUAUGGAAGACCAAGAUUUAAAACCGAACAGGCUUACUUGCACUUUGAAGCUAUUGGAGUAUUUUGUUGAAGAGUACUUUGACCAAAAUCCUAUUAGUCAGCUUGGCUUAAUUGUAACCAAGAGUAAAAGAGCUGAAAAAAUGACAGAACUUUCAGGUAACACAAAAAAGCACUUAACUGCUCUGAAGAAAGCAGUGGAUAUGAACUGCAGUGGAGAGCCGUCUCUGUAUAAUUCCCUAAAUUUGGCUAUGCAGACUUUAAAGCACAUGCCAGCACAUACAAGCAGAGAGGUUUUGGUAGUCUUCAGCAGCCUGACGACAUGUGAUCCAGCCAACAUCUAUGAUCUGAUUAAGUGUUUAAAAGCAGUUAAGAUCAGAGUGUCUGUCAUCGGCCUAAGUGCUGAGGUUCGAGUUUGUACAGUACUUGCCCGAGAAACUGGUGGAACAUACCACGUUAUUUUAGAUGAAAGUCAUUAUAAGGAACUGCUGAUGCAUCAUGUUAGUCCUCCACCUGCCAGUUCAAGUUCUGAGUGCUCCCUUAUUCGAAUGGGUUUUCCUCAGCAUGCUAUUGCUUCUCUAUCUGAUCAAGAUGCAAAGCCAUCCUUUAGCAUGGUGCAAUUGGAAAACAACAGUGAGCCAGGUCUUACUCUGGGUGGAUAUUUCUGUCCCCAGUGCAGAGCCAAAUACUGUGAACUUCCUGUGGAAUGCAAAAUCUGUGAUGUCAGCAUCGUACAAGGGACUUCUUUAACAGACACACCAAUGUUUCCGACUCCUCAGUGCAAGGCCAUGAAGAUAGUCUUUGAAGGACAGAAGUCUCCUCUCACCUCUCCAUCUCCAGGAAAGCAGGGCUCCAUCAUGUCUUGACUGUUACUUGGGAAGACGGAUGCCAUAACUGCGAGUGUCCUCCUGCUUCUUUCUUCUUCCCCAGCUUUAUAUGCUGGGGAAGACACCAUAUGGUCUCACAUUAGUUUCUGCACCUCAUCUGGCUCGGUCUUACCAUCAUUUGUUUCCUUUGGAUGCCUUUCAGGAAGUUCCCUUGGAAGAGUAUCAGGGGGAACGGUGUUGUCAAGGCUGCCAGGGAGAAAUGAAAGAUCAAAAUGUUUACGUAUGUAAAGUGUGUCAGAAUGUAUUUUGCGUGGAUUGCGAUCUGUUUAUUCAUGAUUGUCUGCACUGCUGUCCUGGCUGUGUUCAUGGGCACUCUGCUCCCAUGUCUGCAUGAUGUCAUAUCAGUGUAAUUCCUGCAUAAAUCUGGUUUGCUUAUUCAGCCAUGGCUUUCAGUGAGGCACCUCAAAGCAAGGAGGACAUAGAUGAUUACAGAAGGAUGAACACUGGCUUGGGAGCAAACUUUUUUACUAAUGUAUUAAUGAUUUUGCUACUCUUAAUAUAUUCUUGAAUUAUGUGUAUCUGUCUGAUUUAUUUUCUUUGUUCUUGUCCAAAAAGCUCUGGUUUUCUGACUGUUACUCUGAGUAACAUGUAUAUUUGUAAAUGUGGAAGUGAUGAAACUGGUUUUAUGAUAAUGUGGCAAAUCAUCUAUGUUUCAUUAUAUGUUCAGAAAGAAGCCCUGCAAAUAUAUUUUAUAUAUCCAUUGUUGUAAGCUCCAGGUUUUAGUGGUUGAUGCAGUUCUGUAGAUCAAAAUUAUUAUUAUUUUUUUAGAGUACUUAAUAAAGAUGUUUUUAAGUAAUUAGUUGAGAGACAUUUCAAAUAUUAAUUCCAAGUAGUGUGGCUAUUCACCUUGGCCUUCAGAAAGGCAAUUCAAAUACAGCUGUUACAAAUGUGCUGAAAAGAUAUUUUGGGUUUUAAUGGUACUGAUCAAAGCCAACUGAAUUCUGUGACUGCUGUGUCCAUUGUUGUGUGGUGUAAGUAAGUCUCACUUUCUUGUGGGAGUGUAAGGUUACUGAAAGGCAAUGAAUUUGCAAAGGUCUAAGACUUGAGUUUUUACAAAUCAUUUUUUGAUGGUCACAGGAUUGAAGACAGUGAUGUUAUUUUGAUUCUGAGGCUAGAAUGAAUUGCCACAACUGCAAGUCAUCUUCUCUCCUUGGCUAAACCCCCAGAGCAACAGACAAGGUGGGGGAAGAAAUGGAGGCAUGUGUCCUUAUCCCCACAUUGAGGAAUGGAAAUUGAGACAAAUGCAAGAUGCUCUUUGCCAUUUUGGACAGUGCGUGUUCAAAGUGUCAUUGCAAUUUGAACUUGUGAGACUGUAACAUCUCAUUGUUACAUUGUUGUGAAUUGACUUGUGAGAAUGCCACACCUCGGUGAGAGGAGGUGGUGGUGGUGCAGUGUCUAAAGCAGCAUGUCACAUCUGUUUUUCUGUAGUCGUCUUGUGACCUCUGUAAUACACCCUGAAUAACUCAGUCA